AGCCCCAGGGAAGCUGCAGUGAUGUGGACAUACCGUUCCAGGUGGGAUUAUUGUCCUCACGGUCUGGGGCUCCUGGAAUUACCUUUGCCCAAAGCAAAGCCUCCACCUGCGUGCUUGCAAGCCAUUAAUGCCUAACUAAAUGACACCGCUGGAGCCAGGAAUGAAGGUCAGCUGUGUAGAGGUGAAUGGAGCUAUUUCUCCUGUGCAGUGAUGCUGUGCCACCCGAGCUCCUGCGUAACGCUGAAGCGCAGUGAUGGGGACUGUCCCGUCCAGCAGACAGCAAUGGAUACAUAAAUAUGAGCACAGAGCUGCUGUGUUGGCUCCCCAGGACCACCAUACCCAUUAUGCUGCAGUUUGACCUCCGGCCAGGCACUUGUAAAUGGAGAAACUUCAGAAAUAAAUGAUGUUUUCUCCCCAGCCCCUCCUUCAGCCUCCUGCCUGCUCUCAGUGAAGGAUUGCUGCUGCAAACAGAGCAGUCUGAAUUAAGCUGUCCUGGCGGACCGCACAGAUAGCCCACAGGCCAGAGGUUAAGUGCUCCUGCAACAAAGCACGGGCUGCUCAUGGGUCACUGGUAAAUACAACAGAACUCCGGGCAUUUUUAACCUCUUCCUGCAGAACCAAACCCCACAUUAACCCCUCGCAUCAGGAAGGGACACCCAGCUCACCUGCAGCGAUGCUGUUGGCUCUUAUGGGACCACGGGGGGAGCAUGAGCAGAGGCAGCUCAGGCACUGCAUGGGUUAAGGAUGUCCUGACUUCACGCACUGCAGCACUUACAGCUCCCCUGGGCUCCAUCCCCUGCUGUGCUCAUGGCCAGCUGAUUGGCACAGGGUCCCGGGGGGGCUCGAGACCAGAGAGCACGAGCAACUUCUUACAGUGGGAAAUCACAGCAGAGCUGCAGUGUGGGCAGGGGGGUGUGGGUCUGCCU
rnacentral:lncRNA from 7 species